rnacentral:lncRNA from 13 species
CUUUGACUCAAUUUGAGGUAAUUCUGAAGAACCAUGCCAGUUUCAGAACUCCCCACAGGGUUGGCUGAGGCCCCUGUUGUCACUGCCUCUCAACUCAACUCCUCCCUUUGCCCAGUCCUGCUUCUCUUAUCUCUGAAAAUUUCUAAUCAUAAGGACACCUUCCCAUAUAAAAAAAAAAAAAAAAAAAACCCUGAGAAUCUGGCCUAAGAAAUACAUUGUUUUUAAAUUAACUGAUAAUUUUACAUAAUGCUUCUGAAAUAAUGUGGGAAAAUAUUGUUCUUUUAUCAGCUGCUACAUCAGAAUCACGCCUCACAAUAGGCAAAUGUUAAAAAUCCCUUGGAAGUGUGAAUUCCUUAGAGGUGUGGCUGAGAGCCUCAAAUGUCAUGGCUGAUUAUCACAAAUUGUGAUCACUAAUUGGCUGAGAUAUUAAAGGACAUUCAAGGACUGGGGAGAGCUUGGUGAGAUUCAAUGCCAUAUGUAGGAAGAACCGAAAGAAGACCUUGGACUAUUGGGCAACAGAGAAAGGAAAGGGAGGAACUUGAAGGUUGGGUCCAGUGGCUCACGCCUAUAAUCCCAGCACUUUGGGAGGCCAAGGCAGAAGAAUCACUUGAACCCAGGAGGCAGAGGUUGCAGAGAGCCAAGAUCAUGCUGCUGCACUCCAGCCUGGCUGACAGAGCAAGACUCCAUUUCAAAAAAAAAAAGCAAAAAAAAAAUUUAGAAUUGAAAGGUAAGCAGAUUCUGAGUGAGAGAGCAAGGAAUGUUAUACUUU